rnacentral:rRNA from 1 species
GACGAACGCUGGCGGCGUGCUUAACACAUGCCAGUCGAACGGAAAGGCCUGCUUUCCCUUGUGGAUUGCGGGUACUCGAGUGGCGAACGGGUGAGUAACACGUGAGUGAUCUGCCCCCAACUUGGGUAUAAGCCUGGGAAACUGGGUCUAAUUUCCGAUAGGACUGCAGGGUGGUUCCUGUGGUGGAAAACGAUUUUCUAGUGGGUGGGGAUGGGCUCGCGGCCUAUGAGCGUGGUGGUGGGGUAAUGGCCUACCAAGGCGGGGACGGGUAGUCGGAGUGUGAGGGUGGACGGUGACAUUGAGACUGGGACACGACGCAGACGCGUACGAGAAGUAGCAGAGGGGGAUCUAGGAGCAUGAGCGGGAGCCUGAUGCGGCGAGGGUGCGUGGGGGAUGUCGGGAUUGGGGAUGUAAACUCCUUUCGACGGAGAGGAAGCCGCCUGGUUGGAAGGGUGGUGACGGUAGUGGUAGAAGAAGCACCGGCUAACUACGUG